rnacentral:pre_miRNA from 1 species
UCUUAUGGAUGAACAGAGAAAGUGGUUUCUAGAGAUAGAAUCUACUUCUGGUGAAAGUGACUAUGAA